AUUGAACGCUGGCGGCAGGCCUAACACAUGCAAGUCGAACGAGUGGCGGACGGGUGAGUAAUUUCUGGGAAACUGCCUGAUGGAGGGGGAUACCUACUGGAAACGGUAGCUAAUACCGCAUACCAUCAGAUGUGCUCAGGUGGGAUUAGCUUGUUGGUGGGGUAACGGCUCACCAAGGCGACGAUCCCUAGCUGGUCUGAGAGGAUGACCAGCCACACUGGAACUGAGACACGGUCCAGACUCCUACGGGAGGCAGCAGUGGGGAAUAUUGCGAAAUGGGCGCAAGCCUGAUGCAGCCAUGCCGCGUGUAUGAAGAAGGCCUUCGGGUUGUAAAGUACUUUCAGCGGGGAGGCGUUACCCGCAGAGGAAGCACCGGCUAACGCCGUGCAAGCCGCCGCGGUAAUUC
rnacentral:rRNA from 1 species